CGGAGGGGCUAGCGUUGUUCGGAAUUACUGGGCGUAAAGCGCACGUAGGCGGACCAGAAAGUUGGGGGUGGUAAAUCCCGGGGCGUCAACCUCGGAACUGCCCUCAAAACUAUUGGUCUGGAGUUCGAGAGAGGUGAGUGGAAUUCCGAGUGUAGAGGUGAAUUCGUAGAUAUUCGGAGGAACACCAGUGGCGAAGGCGGCUCACUGGCUCGAUACUGACGCUGAGGUGCGAAAGCGUGGGGAGCAAACAGGAUU
rnacentral:rRNA from 1 species